rnacentral:rRNA from 1 species
UACCAGCACCCCGAGUGGUCGGGACGUUUAUUGGGCCUAAAGCAUCCGUAGCCGGUUCUACAAGUCUUCCGUUAAAUCCACCUGCUUAACAGAUGGGCUGCGGAAGAUACUAUAGAGCUAGGAGGCGGGAGAGGCAAGCGGUACUCGAUGGGUAGGGGUAAAAUCCGUUGAUCCAUUGAAGACCACCAGUGGCGAAGGCGGCUCGCAGACGCGCGACGGUGAGGGAUGAAAGCUGGGGGAGCAAACCGGA